UAAUUCCGCUGGCAACUCUGAUUGUGUCAACUGCGUCACUGUCAUUGUUCUACUUGUUUUUUCAACUGUUCCUGAACUUUUGCUAUUGAAGUUAUCUUUUUUUUUCGAUCUAUUUUUGCUAGUUGUGAUUUUAAGACUUUUGGGAAAUAAUAUAUUAUUUCUAUCUAGAUUUGACCCUGUUGGGCUUUCAUUCAAGCGUUCACACGUUCUGACUGUUUAUUUUCUUCUGCGUCAUAUUUUGCCGAGGCAAACAAAAAAGUCCAGAGGCUAAGAUGAAGUACUCUCUGUUAAUUUCAUUUAUUGUUUCAAUUAGUGCGUUUUCCUCCCAACAAAAUGGGUCAAAGAUCCAAGAUGAUAUUGAUAUCAACGGCAAAAACCAUACGGAUAUUCCUUCAGUCAUAGAUGUGGUUACAAUAGUUCCUCCACAUUUGAUGGCCCCAGUUUCAUAGGAGGAAUAGUUCUCGCCUUAGGAUUGGUAGCUAUUGGAUUUGUGGCCUUCAAAUUCUACAAGGCACGCACUGAGUUGAAUUAUCAUACUCUCUAACGCCAUGAUGCUUUUCUCAUAAAUAUCUAAAUUAAUGCAGUGUGUAUAAUCAGUGCUGAAAAUAAGUGUGACGCCUAACGCUUUUUCAUUCACAUCUGAAGUUUCAAACAUACAUUACACAUCACAAUUUUUUUGAAAAGUAUAUGGGUAUAGGUUUUUUAAGAUAAAAUUGUUCAAUGUGAUCUUCGAUAUUUCAUAUUGUUUUUUUUUUUUAUUUAAAAUGUGUGGAACAGUUAUUGUGCGUUGUUUUUAAUGUGAUGUGGUUGGUUUUUCUUGAUGUUUUUCACUGCAAAAUGAUAUUAGGGUUAUUUGUGGUUUUGAUAAUUUGUUGAUGCUCAAGUGUUUUGUAGAAGCUUAUUUUUUGCGCUGAUAAAACUAUUACAUUGUUUUCUAUCUUUUGUUAUAUGUAAACACUUUUGUUCAGGCCCUAUUUGUUUUUUGUGAUAUAAUGUUUGUGCAUUCUUCGAGAAGUUGUUAUAUUUGGUCUGUUGGACGAAAGUGGUAACUAUGCAAGUCUGAUUCUUGAAAGUAUAAAAAUCUGAAUUUGCUGUUGUACAUGGUUCAACCAUUUCGUUCUUUAUAACAAGUUCUCGAUGCAUUGCUAACUGAGAAGUAAACUAUCAUAGUUGAUAGUGCUACCAAAGAUUGUACUUUUGUUUCUUUUAAAAUCACGAUUCUUUCAAAUAGCUUUUUGAUAGUGAUACUUUAAAAAUAUAGUCUUUUGGAUAUUGUAUAUAUAAUGAUAUCACAUUCGAAUAUAAGGAAUCUCACAUGAUGGCAUGAUAUUGAUAUUGAUAUCGAUUAAUCAAGUACAUGAAUUACUCCAAUA